CCUACGGGGGGCAGCAGUGAGGAAUAUUGGUCAAUGGACGGGAGUCUGAACCAGCCAAGUCGCGUGAAGGAUGAAUGUACAUAGUAUCGUAAACCUCUUUUAUCAGGGAACAAAGGCGUGGACGCGUCCCCGGAUGAGUGUACCUGAAGAAAAAGCAUCGGCUAACUCCGUGCCAGCAGCCGCGGUAAUACGGAGGAUGCGAGCGUUAUCCGGAUUUAUUGGGUUUAAAGGGUGCGCAGGCGGUCUGUUAAGUCAGGUGUCAAAGCUGGGGGCUCAACCGCAGGACGGCGGUUGAAAUUGGCAGUCUUGAGUUGGAGAGAAGUAGGCGGAAUGCGCGGUGUAGCGGUGAAAUGCAUAGAUAUCGCGAAGAACUCCGAUUGCGAAGGCAGCAUGCUGG
rnacentral:rRNA from 1 species